rnacentral:lncRNA from 1 species
ACCAUACAUAGGAAUGUCAUCAAGCAGUUCACUGACCGCGCAACUCAUAACUAAACUCAAACUCACAAACACCGAUGAAGACAGGAGCCAGCCCAGAGGGUAAUAUUUGACACCUACGAAAUCUAUACAAUGCUUGCUGCUGCGCCAACACGAUCUCUUUGGAAUCCGACCGGCUUGGCACUGCUUUUGAUCCUGAACAAACAAGUAAUGUAAUCCAUUUCUGGCUUUUCGCCCCGAGAAACUUUCCCAGCACUGUUAAGAUCUGAUUGCUUGUUAUGAUGCUUAUCCAUCGAUCUUAUUGCUUGCUUGUUAUGAUGCUUAUCUUAUCGAUCUUAUUGCUUGCUUGUUAUGAUGCUUAUCUAUUUGCUUGUUAUGAUGCUUAUCUAUCUGAGGAAUGCCCCUUAACCUACACCUAGAAAUGAAACGUGGAUUUAAGAUCCUGCUCCUACUGCGGAUCCAUAUCCAGAUUCUAGAAGAGCCCCCCCCCACUCUUGAAACUUUCCUUAUAGGGGAUCCCCUUUGAUUAUUAAUCUGACUGUCUUGGCUACCCCUUUGUAUUGAUUGCCAAGGUGCUGAAAGCCUUUCUUAUUUCUCUUGUUUUGAGAGAACUGGCAAAAUCUAGGCAAAGCCCUUUGGUUCGGUAGGGCCGGUACUAAACCUACGGAUUCCGGGCUAGGAAAUUCUUUGAUUAUCUCGAUUGGCUCGACCAUAGCAGCCGAUCGGGACUGACCUCUCGACCCUUGCUUGGAUGUAGUGCGGGGCCCGUAUUUGUAUAGGUAACCAUAGUUCGCUUAUCCGCAUGGAUUGCUUUUUCAUAGAAGUAUGGAAAGGCUUGGAAUGGAGCUAACAAAUGUGCAAUGAAUGGUUGACUUAACCACAGGAAAGUAGGCGCAAACCAAAUGAGAGAUAUCCAUUAUGUCCAUAUUUGAUCGUAUGGUCCUAGAUAAAAGGACUAGCUUAGCGCAGUUGCUGGUUUCAUUUCAUUUUCUGAUUCUGGAGCACCUGGAGUAAUUGUUCGAUCUCUCUCUCUUUUGCUAGGUUUAUCCGAAAGAGAUCUGCUUUCUAGUCGCCUAAGGUAGACUCUACCCCUAUCUUUGCUAAAGUGAUGCUAGGCUAUACGCGUCCUCUGCUAUUCAUGAAAUCAAUAUAUGGUGAAAUCAAUAUAUGGGUGGAGCUUUUUCUUAGUCUAUGUCGGAACCCAUUUCUAUCAUAUGCGCAAGAUGGAUUCAAUUCCGUAUUUGUUGACACAGGUUUUCAUCGAGAUGGAGAGAGACCUGACCUCUCUGUAAAGGUAAGUCUGCUUUAUCCUUAGGUUCAGUGACCUGCCUUUCUUCUUUUAAUUAUCCCUGACUUUAUGGUUUUUCGGGUACCGCGGUCUCCUUAGUGCAUAUCCUUUUGUGAAUAGUCCUAAAGUGUUAUGGAACUUAUUAUUAGGGCUUUCUUAGAGCCAUCAAAGAGAAAGGUAGUAGUCCGAAGACCCCUUUAUGAAGAAGCUGGAAUCAGAUUCCGAUGAAGAGCAAGAUUUGACAGAGAUUCCCCCCUUUCUGUGAAUGAAUCAUUCCCACGCCCUUCCCCACUUUCCUCAAUCGAUAGGUCAAAGACAGAGUCCCAGUUAGAUCAAGAAUCUUGGAGCAAUUCGGGGGUACUUUACUUAGGUCUUAUAAUGAUCUUGAUGUAGAUGGUAGAGGGCUGCACCCAUAAUGAGAUAGAAUACUUUUUCUUUGUGAAAUGUAGAAGAAGAAACCUAAGGAGACGAAAGCAAAAGGAACUAAGAAGAAACCUAAGGAGACGAAAGCAAAAGGAACUAAUUAAUACACGCCCGUAAAUUGAUCUUCGUCCUCUUACUUAUUGGGCUUUAAUACAAAAUAGACGUACCUCUGCAUGACAUGCCUUCGUCAAUUUCAAUUAAACACUUUUCAUGUCAUAGAGUUUUGGAUUAGUUUCUUCUGCUCGGUAUCAGAAUCCAAAGACAGGAAUGACUCCUCUUGGCAUUCCCCACAUUGCAUCGGCGCGAUCCUCUCCAACAGCGUAAGAGCGCCCCGGGACCCGUGUAACAAAGAUCUAUUUCUUUCUUUUCUCGAUUCGUAGCAUCUGAGAUGGGAAGUAGAAAGAGAGUGGAUCGCGGGGUGAGAGUAAGGAAUGCUUACCGAUUCGUAGAUUAGAAGCAUAGUCAUAGAGUGGCGAGAUGCUCUCCCUUAUUGAAAUCAGAGGAUAUUGAUUUAUAGACUGGUUCUUAUCCAAAAUAGAUAAUACCGUACCGUAGGAACUAGGCUUGUAUUCAUUGGCAUCGCGCUACGCCCCUUAAGGUGGCUUGAUGUUCACUGUCCUCACUUCCCUAUCCCGGGGGCAGUGCUUUGAUAUGCGUCUUCAUUAACCUACCUUCGGAGAACAAGCUAGACCCCCAAUUGUCAAUGAGACUACUCUAUAGGAUGGCAAUUAUGAAAGAGAUGCGCGGAUAAGAAAUUAGCGCCUCAUCCUCAUUCCACGUGCAGGUUAUUCUUUAUUCCAAUAUCUCGGUAAGAAGCCCGGUUGUUAGGAAGGUGAUUCUUUAUUCCAAUAUCUCGGUAAGAAGCCCAAGCAAGGCCUAAUCCCUCUUGUCCUCUUCCUGGGAGAACUUGAAUCAGGAAAGCUGGCGAAACGAAAACUACUGCUGGUGCUACGGGCUGGUAUAUUCGUUUGUAAGUUCGUAUCGGGUCUUGUCUCGAUCCGUUUAUUCCCUGGCUAUUUUGUAGGCACACAUAUCUGGUAUCCAUAUAGAGAGGGCCAUACAUAGGGCUCAUGCCCAUGUGCAAUGCCGCAAGAGUGAAGAGACGGCCGUAGCUCUACUGGUUAUUAUGGAGUUGGAAGGUUACAUGUUCCCACGAACGGAAAAAGGGCCCUGAUACUAACUGGUAUAGGCCGGUCUUUCAUAUGUUUAUAACAGCCAUCCAGACUAAAGCAUUCCCACUACGGUCGAAGAGAUGAUUCAGCAGGCAAACCAACCAGAGGACAAGAUCAAUAGUAGAAUAAGGUCCAUGCCCAGCUUCCUUCUUGUUUGCCCAGAAUCAGAGGAAUUUAUAGACGGAGCUACUGUUAAGAAGCAUUCACUCUUCAUUCGCCUAGGGGUGGACGAAGACCUUUCACUACUAUAAGUAAGAUGCCUCCCACUCGCACUCCCUAUUAUUGGAUGGAACUGAGACUGUCACUAGUUUACUAAAAGGAGUACCUUCCCCUGACCUUAGGCUAUCCUAAGACCGAUCUCUUAUAUAAGUCAUUCCAUCCCUAAGAUCACAGUGUCGGAAUCAAAGAUACUUUAUUCAAAUUCAAGGACACAUCUGGAGGGGAAAGACAGAAAGAAGGAAAGAGCCUCGCACUACUUCUCAGAGAUAGCGUUAACGGAUCUAUUUCAUUUCAUAGUGCUCCGCUUCGUUCGCAUGAAGAAAGCAAGGCAAGGUGCGUUGCAAAAAUGCCAUUAGGGAAAGACCGUAGAGUUCCACUUCCAAUGCAGAAUAGACCACUCCACUUUGGCCUCUUUUUACCUAGGAACAACUUAACAACAUGGACUAGCCUGCCAGAAGCCAUAAGCAAAUAGAAAGACAGGAAGAUACUCUCUAUUCUUAGAUAAGUUUCUUGGAUUGGCUUAGGAUCUGUGCUUCGUUCCCAUCUUCUAGAUAACAUAUGGGCAAGACUAAGUGCGUCAGUGGCUAAAGGGAGAGUUUCCAGUUUCAGAAUGGAGUUUUCCCCUGUUUGACUUGACUCACCGAUCGAAAGAACAGUCUCUUAUUGUUGUGCUAAGCCUAAAGGAGUUAGAAAUGAAUGAGUUGAAUAAGCAAGGACAAGCAAAAGAAGUACCUAUUAAUUCGAAUAUGGAACUUUGUAUAGAACAACUUUGUAACUGGCAGCAAGCAGGUCUGCAAAUGGGAAUUCUGUUCUUGUUUCAUCCGUGUUUGCAACUAGAGAUGAAGCUGUUCUAAAGUAAGCAUCAAGCGCAUCCGUCCUGGAGUAUCUUGAAGUUAUAGUGUUUGUCGUAUCCCUAUCAUUGGAGUUUACCCCCGAGUUAGAGAAUUGCCUUAUUACAAUUAUCACAUUAUAGCCUACUAACUAAAGAAAUGUCCGGUGCAGAGAAGUCAAAUAGAGAUUGAUUAUUACUGGUGUGCUACAUUUGUAAGUAAUCAUUGUUUGGAGUAAAUACCCGGCCCUACCCUAUUGCUAUAGUAAUUCGCUUAUAGAGAGAGUGGAUUUGCUUGUUGAAUGGAAUCCAGAUAAGAAAGAGCUUUGUAUAGAAAGAACUCUGUAACAGGCUUUCAGCUCCUUUCCUUCGUCCGGAAGGUAAACCAAUCUGACUCGGAAAGUAACCUAACACAGCUUGCGGGACGAACUCAGUACUAUAAGAGGUGUGUUAAAGCCUCAAACAAGGAAUCUGGUGGAUCAGAAUCAUAAUAAGGAUCCGCAGGAAGAAGUUUCAAGUCGAGUUCCUGGUAAUCCUGUUGUUUAUGCUCUAGCUCUAAGUCUUGGUCUUGUGUCGAGUGUUGAUGCUGCAGUAGCUCCAAGAUAUGAAGCAGUGCCGUAUCUAGGAAAGGACCCUCAAGAUUGUGUUCAAGGCAAUAUCCAAAGAAGGGAACAAGCAAACAGGCAACUACCACCGUUGCCCUAACAUAUUAAGCGCGGUGAAGGUAAGAAGAAAUUCCAAUUGAAGCCCCAUAAGUAGAGAAUGACCUUCUUUUACUGCUUUCCGCUCCUUUCCUUGUCGAGAGAGGUGAUUGGGGUGUCUCAAUUCAGGAAUUAUAGAGCAUAACAGAACUUCAAGUAGAGGUCGAGGAAGCAAGGGGAGAAGAGAAAAGGGAAGCAGUUGACUUACUGCUUGAAUAUAGUAAGGGCAAGCUACGUAGUUAUUAGUAUACAAAGGCAAAGACAGUAAUGAACCACCUGGUAUUGAACUAACCAAGCAGAGCCCCAUUAACCAUAUAGUAAUAGUGAACACCGCCAAGCGUAUACUAAUGUUGCUAGGCAGGGCCGUUAGUGUUCAGCAUAGCUUUAGCCUACCUCUCCUGGAAGUUAUCAUUUCAUUGAGGAUUACCUGCUUGCUGGUUCAUCUGGGCAUUCUUCUCUCUAAGAUUCAACGAUCACUCUACUUUCAACAUUCCUUCUAGCUUCGUCACCAACACAUCUCUUAUUUAUUACUAUUAUAUAUGGAUACCCUGGCCCCAGUAUACUCUUAUUCUUCGCGCUUAGUAGCUUUGUCAUUAGUAUUAGUUUGUUGGUUCUGUUGCGCUUACAGAGUUUACAGCCACUGCGGAUUCUCUUGGUUUAAUGCUCCGUUACUUCAUUCCUGCAAUUUCAUCUAUCUCUGACUCUUACUGAUUACCAGCUUCUAGAGGAUCUCGCAACAAAUCAUUUCAUCAUCUAUCUCCAAUUACAUUUCAUCAUCUAUCUCCAAUUACAAUAGAUUCUCUACAAGGGCUGGCUCUAUUCCCUUAUCUUUUGAAAACCUAUACUUUUCAUUGCAUUUCCGGAUUCUCUCGUAGACAACAAAAGAAAGAAACUAUCUCGUAGACAAUGACACAAGAACUCAAUCAAGAACUCGCUAACGGAGCUCAAUUCGAUGAUUUCUGCCUGCUCGACUCGAGGGAAAGUAUGAAGUGGAGUACCAACAAUCAAGGGCUUUCUAACGUUAUAGCACUAUGGCACCAGUAUCAAGUAUAAUGCUACGUCGCAAAGGACCUACUACUGUUCUCGAAAGUAUUAUAUCUGGCAAGCUGGGCCCGGGCAACUCACUAACAGCGCUAACGGAGCUAUGUUCGCCUUUCUUUCCUGGAGCCUAGCCCUCUCCCCUCGCUUUGAUUUUCUAUAGCCGCUCCCUUGUGCCUUUCUUUCCUUGAGCCAACAAACCCACCCCUCUUUGUGUCUAUAUUAGUCUUAGGGUAGCUCUCUUCUAUUCCUUAAAGAGCAAGCUUCGGCGUUUUCAAGCAAUGCCUCUAUUCGUUCUUUAUACUCGUAGCAACAACAACCCGUCCUUUUUCAACAAGAACUACGGCUUUGGAACACACGUCAGCUGAAAUGACUUGUUCUAACGUUAUUGUAAUUGGGGCUUGUUACUUAUGGAACUCCACGAGACUACUCGGGGUCAAGCACGCAAAGAUAAAGCCAAGACAAAGGAAUUGCUGCUGAAGAAGGAAAGAAAGAAUAGGGGGAAUUGCUGCUGAAGAAGGAAAGAAAGAAUGGAGGAACAAGCUUAAGAAAGAAGGGCCGCUUAUUGGAGUUGGAUUUCUGAGUAAGCUCUUUCUCUUAUAUGAGAGUUAUACAAGAUAUCUUCAUUAAUUCAAGGUAGCUGAAGGCCAAACUCCGCCUACUUAGUUUUUCAUGCUGGAGAAGUAGAAAGUCAAGUAUGGAGCGGGCCAGGCUAUAAGUCAAAUCAAAGGUGUCUCUCGUAGAGCAAUUCUCUAUUUUGUCAGUAAAUAGUUGUUAGUGAAAUGCAAGUAAAUAAGCUUUUAGGCAAUAAAAGAAAGAAUACUAUUGAGUAUAAUGGAGUCCUUUUGUUAAGGGUUCGGCUGCUGCCAAUAAAUAUUCCAUUAUGAAAACUGGGCAGUAAGAUGACAGAAGAGAUUCUAUACGAAGCAACUUGGACCACAACUCUUGAAACACUUUAUGAAGCGCUAAGCAUAUUCCUGAAGUAGAGAACAAGCAACGGAAAGCAAGCACCCAAUUCUUGACCGCUACACAUGAGUCUAUAAUACCGCUACACACAUCAGUAUAUAAUCCGGCUGAGUAGGAAAGGCAGGAAGUGGCCAACCAAUCCAUUUCAGUGCUGUGCUGUCAAAGGCCGCUUACAUGCCACGGCAACGUUGUGCUAAAGGAGUUUUACAAGGGUAGGAAAGACAGUCUCUCUCGUAAGGUUCGUUUUUUCAACCUCUUGUUAAUGCUGGAGAAGUAGAAAGUGUUAAUGCUGGAGAAGUAGAAAGUCAAGUAUAGAAAAGAAAGCCUGCCUUGCCUCAAACUACAUUCCAUAAUGGCGCGAAACAGCGAAAACAAACAAGUGGAACAACCCGGCAACCCUGACUAUAUAUUGGAUUAGGAAACAAUGCCAUGUUAGGUUAAUAUCUCUUGUAUCAUGUGCUACUUAUUUAGAAACUUAUGAAUGGAACAAUAAGCAAGGCAAAGAAUUUUGUACUAUUGUGCUGUUCCCUUGUGCGCUAGUUUCGGAGUUAGGUGGAUGACUUGUUAGGUUACUUGAUUAUACCCUGACUGGAGACUAAUGAUUCUGGAUACGAUGACACUCGAACAGAACUUGAAUGCUUGAACCACUACAAGGUGCUUCAGAAGAUAGGACAAGAAGUUGAGCGUAUGAAUAAGUUCCUCCGGUGUUAGCGACUUGGAUCAUUACAAGGUGUUGUCUUUCCCUCACAUCAACAUAUAGGGUAUGCCCCCUUAUCUCCUUUAUUAUUGACUGUAGAAUCCGUAGCGGGAAGGAAAUCCGUGUAGUAUCUGAAUUGUACCCAUGGGUCAGGGGGGUAACUAAUGUUGUCGUAUCUGACUCAAACUAUUGCUAUGGCUUUAGGCUCAUUAAUCUAAACGUAUCUGACUCAAACUAUUGCUAUGGCUUUAGGCUCAUUAAUUGGAAUAAGGGGGUAAAGGGGUCGGGGAAGUCAAUCUCUCUCUCUUGCCUUAGGAUAGUAAGCUAGGGUACUGCUCCCUCGAAAACUCCGGGUUGUAAAUGGAACUCGCGUUAGGAGUUCGCUGCGAUGUUGCUUAUUUGCUUGUUCAGUGGGUUUACUGAAUUCUAGAACACAUGAUGCGCACUUAUGACUUGAAACUUGAGGGAUACUUUACUUGAGACUGCUUGAGCAACCAUUAACAAGCCAGUGUGUUCCGUGUCAAGUAAGAAAAGAAUCAUAAAGAAGACUCACUCACUAAAGCACCACGCCUCGCUCACUUACGCUCUUGCUUGUUCCAGCAAUGGAAUAUAGUGGGCAUCUUAUAUAAUGGGGAAACCGAACUCCUGACUUGAAAGAGGAAGAAGUCAUAUCGGCACCCCUAACGUUAACACUAAAAUCACUCGCUACCGGAGUUUCACCUUUUCUCACAACACUCAAAAACUCACGGAUUUUCUAUUCCUACUCGAUCGGGCCACUUACUUAUUACUUGUUCUCAUUACUGUGAGAAGCUAGAGGAAACCGAACCCUAUACACUUUAAGGAAGGACAUAGGCAUAGCACUAUAAGAUAAGGACAGAGGUACCGUUAAGGACAUAGGCAUAGCACUAUAAGAUAAGGACAGAGAGGCACCGUUACUCUAAACAAAUUGAACAAAAAACGACUCAUGAACAAGCAAGGUUAGCGAGUGAGACCUAUAGUAUAGAAAAAUCCGGGUAAUCUUACAAACACAUUCUAUACAAUUUAGCAUUAGGAGAGUUUGCAUUGUUUAAGCCAAGUGAAAGAAAGCGCUCGGGUUUGAUUGAUCCAGUUAGGUUACAAAUCCUUCUAUUAUAUGUGAGCAGUGAUUUCACCUUCUUUAUAUGCUAAAUCAUAUCCAUAAGCUGCGAUUUCACCUUCCAUAUGUUUCACAAAAGCAAGAGAUUUCUCAUCUUGUCGACGCUGAGCGGAUUCGAAAGUGUUCCCUGGAAAGCGGAAAGUCAGCGUUAACCAGCUCCAGGCCUGCUCUACAGAAUCAGAAUGUAUUUCCUACUGCAAGAGAUCGGGCUCACCCUUGCGCUGCGCUACCUAGCUAACAAUCACAAAGGUUACAGCUAUCGGGUGGACUUAACGACUCUCACUACUCUCAAGUACAGUCUCAGGGCUAUCUUAUUAGUCAAUAUGCAUUGUAAGGACUGUUAGGUGGGGGCGGAGAAUUUGCUACAACUUGUCUAGUAGUUGUGGGAUGAAACAAGAACAGAAAGAGACGAAACUAAAGCUAACUCAACUACACGGCUAUUGCCUAAAGCUAACUCAACUACACGGCUCAUUCAUUACAGUCAGGUAUCAAGAUAGAGUUGGAAAUCCUUGCUUGACUUCCGUGCCUCUCGUAUCAAGUCUAGUAAUGUAGUCCAUAUUGCCCGUAAUGUAGCCCAUAUUGCCCACUACACUUUAAGUACAGAAUCUAGUAAAUGACGGCUACUUAAUCUAAUGGAGGGUUCAGCUCAAGAAAACGGUAUAUUUGGGGUAAUUGGUCAGGGAAAGAAGAACCUAUGAUUAAUAGAGGGAAAGAAGAACCUAUGAUUAAUAGUGGGUGCCCACUUUCUUUAUGAAAUGUUGGAAAGAGGUAUAGUAUAGAAAAGAAAGGGGGAAAGGAAAGACCUCAUUAGUAUGAGAUAGAUUAAGGUAACAAACGACUGGAGCAUAAAGGAGUGCGCCAUAUGAGAUAAGAAUCGAAAUCGUAGUGCGCCUAUAAUAGAAGAAAGUCACAACACUCUCUAAUAUUGCUUGACCCCGGGCCUAUCAGGCAUGUUCACUCAAUCCCCUUCAAGUGCGCACUUAACAAAAAGGAGUCUGCUGUCAAAGCUUUCGUUUCUUUUGGUCGACCCUGUAGAACCGGCUUCCGUUCCUUGAUUCAAACCUGCUUCCUCAAUCUUCGUGAGUUUUUGUCUUAUAUCAAUAGAUCGUCGUGGCAUGCAAACUCCCUACGCUACCUCCUGUGGCAUGAAGUAAUCCAGACAUAUCUCGUUGAUCAAGUGUUUUUCGUGGGCUAUGGGAACCGAACCCAAUUCUUCCACCCCACAAGAAAUCAAAAACCGACUUAUCAAAUAAGAGCCGGUACUGAGCUGAGUCAAUAAGUAACCACUGAUCCGCUGUAAGUACUAUUUCAAGUCUAACGUUGGCAUUUGAUUCUCCAAAGGAAAACUCACUUGCUUGCUUUUUGAUACGCUUGCUGGAGAAGGUCGGUUAAGUACACGAAUCCAGGAUAACCGAACUCUAACUCGCGAUCGAGAUCAUAUACUCUAUUUAUCUUUCUGGAUUACCUAUUCAUUCUUCGCGGCAUAAGCCAUUUUAUAUAAUACCACCGAGCUUGACUUCGAACUUACCUAGCGGCAUAAGCUAUUUUAUAUAAUACCACCGAGCUUGACUUCGAACUUACCUAAUUAAUACAUUUACAGAGAGGCGAGUUGUCAUGGUAUUCCACCAUAUAGACUGGGCGGGAGUUAGCAAUGAGUUUCUUAACUACCCCCGAAAAGAAAGAUGAAUUUCUUGAGUUCUUGGCAAAACAAGUUGGUCGUAAAACCAAACGUGGCCAAUCUAAGCCAAAGACUAAGGCUUAACUAAGUUGUGAAAUUAGGGUUAUAGGGCAAAAGCAAAGCAACAUCAUUUUGUUAGCAUAAAAGUGAUCCCGAGAUAGGGUUAAUACCAGUAGGGCUAUAGAUGGAAUUUCUCUUUGCUUAUUCUGUUCUGAAUGAAUCUAUUUGAUUUAGGCAUUACUCUUCCUUGCUAAUGCUAGUCUUAAGGGUUGAAGUGCUCCGGAGUCUGCCCAUGAGUUUCGGGGAAACGUUUAUAGAGCCAGUUCCACUUUCAUUUCAUCGAGUGUGAGCAAGCCAGGUCUUGCGGAGCCUCGCCUACAAUGUUAGAAAGAUCAGGCAGUUCCAAAAGCGACUCAUCAGAAAGUCAGGGAGAAAUAAUGUCCCUCCACUGUACAUAGACUGGCACCCUGUUUACCCUUGCGAAAACUGUUGUUUCUAUAUAACAACUAUGGAUUUGGAUAACUUCCCCCAAUAAGCAUUUUUCCUUCCCGCCUGCCAAAUGCUACAAAAUGGGAAUCAUGCUUUCUAACCAAUCAUGCUUUAUAACAAACACCCUGGGAGAAAAAUGAACCCUGCAUGGGUAGACCAAGUUAUUGUUCCGUAGACUCUAAAGAAAAUCGAAUAGCGGAGUUGUCCUAAUUCCCCUACAUUUAGCAGAGCCGUCCUAAUUCCCCUACAUUUAGCACAUUUAUAGGACAUUGUGUUUUUCUAACAAGAUAACAAGAUCCAGCCUGAAGUGAAGCAGUAACGCCAUCGUUAGUAAGCCCUACCAGUUACAGUUACCACCACGAUAGACAGAUGCAAUUGAAAGAACGUUGUCUUCCAAGGUUCUAUGCCAAGUAUUUAGUAUUUACGUCAUCAACAAGCUUUGUACUACAUGGGGAAUUAGUUGAAUGAGGAAAUAGCGAAUGAGAUGGAUGAUAAAGACUUCUCUUCAUAUAACUGAGAAGAAGAGGCAUGAUCCGUCAAAGAAAUUAGUAGUGAAUAGUCCAGCAAGCUACUACUCAUCUCAUGUUGCGCGGCAG